ACCUACUUAACUCAGUGGUUAGAGUACUACUUUCAUAUGGCGAGAGUCAUUGGUUCAAAUCCAGUAGUAGGUA
rnacentral:tRNA from 1 species